rnacentral:rRNA from 1 species
UACGUAGGGGGCAAGCGUUGUCCGGAAUCAUUGGGCGUAAAGCGCGUGUAGGCGGUCCGGUAAGUCCGCUGUAAAAGUCGGGGGCUCAACCCUCGGAUGCCGGUGGAUACUGUCGGGCUUGAGUACGGAAGAGGCGAGUGGAAUUCCUGGUGUAGCGGUGAAAUGCGCAGAUAUCAGGAGGAACACCAAUUGCGAAGGCAGCUCGCUGGGACGUUACUGACGCUGAGACGCGAAAGCAUGGGGAGCGAACAGG